rnacentral:rRNA from 1 species
AGAUUGAACGCUGGCGGCAGGCCUAACACAUGCAAGUCGAGCGGUAGAGAGGUGCUUGCACCUCUUGAGAGCGGCGGACGGGUGAGUAAUGCCUAGGAAUCUGCCUAGUGGUGGGGGAUAACGUUCGGAAACGGACGCUAAUACCGCAUACGUCCUACGGGAGAAAGCGGGGGACCUUCGGGCCUCGCGCCAUUAGAUGAGCCUAGGUCGGAUUAGCUAGUUGGUGAGGUAAUGGCUCACCAAGGCGACGAUCCGUAACUGGUCUGAGAGGAUGAUCAGUCACACUGGAACUGAGACACGGUCCAGACUCCUACGGGAGCAGCGAGGUGGGGAAUAGUUGGAAC